GUCGAGAAUAGUCUACAAUGGUCGAAAGACUGAUAGUGCGACGCCGCGUGAACGAAGAAGCCCUUCGGGGUGUAAAGUUCUUUUAUAUGUGAGCAAUGCCUUUUAUGUGAAUAGCAUGAGAGGAGCGAUAUUAGCAUAUGAAUAAGCAACGGCUAACUCCGUGCCAGCAGCCGCGGUAACACGGGGGUUGCAAGCGUUGUCCGGAAUUACUAGGCGUAAAGGGCAGGUAGGCGGAUAGAUAAGUUUUUUGUCAAAGGCGACGGCUCACCCGUCGUAUGGCAGGAGAUACUGUUUAUCUGGAAUGCGGUUGGGGAAGACAGAAUUCCUGGUGUAGCGGUGGAAUGCGCAGAGAUCAGGAGGAAUACCGAAGGCGAAGGCAGUCUUCUAAGCCGUUAUUGACGCUAAACUGCGAAGGUGUGGGUAUCAAACAGGAUUAGAUACCCCGGUAGUCC
rnacentral:rRNA from 1 species